ACUCCCGGCCCUAGGGGGUCGGAGUAGGUCCAGCAGGAGUGACCCCCCGGGGCUGUGGGAUCUGAAACUUUUUCUUCUCUACUGCUUGUUCUCCCUUCCUCCAUCCCUCACCCCGAAGCGGGAAGCAGCUUUCUCUUCCCAGCUUCCAUCCAGUCUCUGAGUAGACCAGUCGCAGCUUAGAUGCUGGGAUCGCCUCAGAACACAUUUCUUUGCCCUUCACGGCCACUACCGGUAUUGGGGUAUGCGAGUCUCAGGGCCGUUCGUUGCUCACAGGUCGAGCUGGUCUGGACUCUGUUCGACCACGAAUCAUGACUCCUUCCUGCCAGUUAUGUCCCCUCCGCACCCUUGCCCAGCCAUUUUACCAGGCCUCUCCACAUUGCGCUGCCCCACGUUUCCUUUGAAGUAAAAUAAGCUGCAAAAUAUG
rnacentral:lncRNA from 1 species